rnacentral:rRNA from 1 species
AUUGAACGCUGGCGGCAUGCCUUACACAUGCAAGUCGAACGGUAACAGGUCUUCGGAUGCUGACGAGUGGCGAACGGGUGAGUAAUACAUCGGAACGUGCCCGAGAGUGGGGGAUAACGAAGCGAAAGCUUUGCUAAUACCGCAUACGAUCACAGGCGGAAAGCAGGAGCACGCAAGGCCUCGCGCUCACGGAGCGGCCGAUGGCAGCUUAGGUAGUUGGUGGGGUAAAAGCUUACCAAGCCGACGAUCUGUAGCUGGUCUGAGAGGACGACCAGCCACACUGGGACUGAGACACGGCCCAGACUCCUACGGGAGGCAGCAGUGGGGAAUUUUGGACAAUGGGCGCAAGCCUGAUCCAGCCAUGCCGCGUGCAGGAUGAAGGCCUUCGGGUUGUAAACUGCUUUUGUACGGAACGAAAAGACUCUGGUUAAUACCUGGGGUCCAUGACGGUACCGUAAGAAUAAGCACCGGCUAACUACGUGCCAGCCGCCGCCGUAAGAC